GUCGAGGGGUAUGCUUCUUCGGAAGCAGAGACCGGCGCACGGGUGCGUAACGCGUAUGCAAUCUGCCUUUCACAGAGGGAUAGCCCAGAGAAAUUUGGAUUAAUACCUCAUAGCAUAGCACAAUCGCAUGAUUGAGCUAUUAAAGUCACAACGGUGAAAGAUGAGCAUGCGUCCCAUUAGCUGGUUGGUAAGGUAACGGCUUACCAAGGCUACGAUGGGUAGGGGUCCUGAGAGGGAGAUCCCCCACACUGGUACUGAGACACGGACCAGACUCCUACGGGAGGCAGCAGUGAGGAAUAUUGGUCAAUGGGCGCAAGCCUGAACCAGCCAUGCCGCGUGCAGGAUGACGGUCCUAUGGAUUGUAAACUGCUUUUGUACGAGAAGAAACACUCCUUCGUGAAGGAGCUUGACGGUAUCGUAAGAAUAAGGAUCGGCUAACUCCGUGCCAGCAGCCGCGGUAAUACGGAGGAUCCAAGCGUUAUCCGGAAUCAUUGGGUUUAAAGGGUCCGUAGGCGGUCUGGUAAGUCAGUGGUGAAAGCCCAUCGCUCAACGGUGGAACGGCCAUUGAUACUGCUGGACUUGAAUUAUUAGGAAGUAACUAGAAUAUGUAGUGUAGCGGUGAAAUGCUUAGAGAUUACAUGGAAUACCAAUUGCGAAGGCAGGUUACUACUAAUGGAUU
rnacentral:rRNA from 1 species